UACGGGGGGGGCAAGCGUUGUUCGGAAUUACUGGGCGUAAAGGGCUCGUAGGCGGCCAACUAAGUCAGACGUGAAAUCCCCAGGCUCAACCUGGGAACUGCGUCUGAUACUGGAUGGCUUGAGUAUGGGAGAGGGAUGUAGAAUUCCAGGUGUAGCGGUGAAAUGCGUAGAUAUCUGGAGGAAUACCGGUGGCGAAGGCGGCAUCCUGGACCAUUACUGACGCUGAGGCGCGAAAGCUAGGGGAGCAAACGGG
rnacentral:rRNA from 1 species